GGCACUGAGCCCGGCACCGCCUGCCCUGCGAGCGGACGAGGCGAGAGCGAGUGGGAGAGACGGCGAGCGACGCUGCGUUCCCUCCCCCCUCCCCUUCAGCACCCCGGCGGACCGACCGACCCUGCCCGAGGCGCUGCUGCGGCUCCCCGGGGACACGCCGCCGCCUCGGCUGCCCCGCUCCCCGCCGGUCCCUGCCGGAUCCCUGCGGAGAACGCGGAGAGAGCCGCGGGAUCGCCCCGCUCCCGCCUGCCCGCGGAUCCCGCUGCGAGCCAGGCACACAGACUGUCGGGUUUCCCCGCUCCCUCCUCCCUCCGUGAAAGACUUUGCUGGAUCCUCCUCCCCGGAUCCCCUCCCCGCGCUCGCUCCUUCCUGCGGGAGCGGCUGCCGGAUCCUCCUCCCGCCGCGGAUCGCCCGCGGGGUCCCUGCGGAGCCGCGGACCCUCCUCCCCUGGCAGAGCCUCCGCUGGAUCCUCCGCCCCCCCGGAGCUCCCGGCGGGAUCCUCCUCCUGCCCGCAGCCCCAUGUGAGACUCCGCAGCCCCCGUGCCUCCGCCGUGCUCUUUCAGUUGGGUUUUUUUUUUUUGUUGUUUUUUUCCACCCCCCUCCUCCUUUUAUUUUGAAGGGGGGAUCCAUCUUAAAACUCUUUUUCUGGAUCCCGGUUUCUCUUUUUUUGAUUUGCACUUUUUGAAAAACCCUCAGAUGCUCCUCCAUGUGGACUGAGAACCCAUCAAGACACACACACGAGAACUCAUCCCGAUCAACUCCAAAUCCUGGCUUUCCGUGGGUUUUGCUGCAACACAUGAAAGCAAACUUGUAUUUAAGACACACUCGUGCAGAAAUUUAGCUGGGGACUUGAACGUGUAUUUUGUCUUGGUUUCUUGGUUAUUUUUUUGUUGUUUUAUUUUUCUUUUUUUUUUUUUAAUUUUGCUUCACUGGAAAUCAAAAGCUUGUUUUGGAAUUGGACCUGCUUUUGCUGCACUUCUCCUCUGGGCUGGAUAACACUGAAGCUUUUUGCUUUUCUACUUGGAUAGUGUUUUCCUGUUGAUCUGUUGGGUUUUUUUCAUCUCCUGUGUGGCAGACUUUUUUUUUUUUUCCCUGAGGGGGGUAAACAAACGACGACAAAACAACAAAAAACUUAAUUUUUUUGGCCGUGUGAGAUUUUUUUCGUAUUCAUAUUCGUGAAAUUACGGGUACACUUACAAAAAAAUUGAAAAAAAAAAAAAAAGAAGCAUUAAAAAUAAGAAAGGAACACGUCAGAGAGACCCCUACACGGUAGACAAAAUACUCACUUGUUUCCUUACAGCAAGACUGAAUCGAAAGCUGCCAAAGAGCCCCAUAAAGAAAAGACUAAAAGGGAGAAAGAACAAGAAACACAAGAAGAGGAACAUUUGAUGGAAGAAAAGAAAAAGAAAAAGCAGGAAGAAAAGAAAAAGAAGGAAGGUGCUCAGAAAAAGGCUGCUGAACAAAAAACCAAAGUGCCAGAACCUAUUAAGACCAGUUUAAGCCAGCCCCAACCUGCCGGUACCGGUACCAGUACUUCCACCAGCACUCUCACCAACAGCAGCAAUGGCAAGCGCACCUCUGCCAAUGGGCAGCAGCCUG